GAUGAACGCUGGCGGCGUGCUUAACACAUGCAAGUCGAACGGGAUACUUACAGUGGAGACUUCGGUUGAAGCAGUAAAUUAUCUAGUGGCGGACGGGUGAGUAACGCGUGGGUAACCUGCCCAUUAGAGGAGGAUAACAGGGAGAAAUUCUUGCUAAUACUCCAUAUGCUUACGGUAUCGCAUGAUACAGUGAGGAAAGAAUUUUGCUAAUGGAUGGACCCGCGUUUGAUUAGCCAGUUGGUGGGGUAACGGCCUACCAAAGCUACGAUCAAUAGCCGGCCUGAGAGGGUGAUCGGCCACAUUGGGACUGAGACACGGCCCAAACUCC
rnacentral:rRNA from 1 species